AUUGAACGCUGGCGGCAGGCCUAACACAUGCAAGUCGAACGGUAACAGGAAGAAGCUUGCUUCUUUGCUGACGAGUGGCGGACGGGUGAGUAAUGUCUGGGAAACUGCCUGAUGGAGGGGGAUAACUACUGGAAACGGUAGCUAAUACCGCAUAACGUCGCAAGACCAAAGAGGGGGACCUUCGGGCCUCUUGCCAUCGGAUGUGCCCAGAUGGGAUUAGCUAGUAGGUGGGGUAACGGCUCACCUAGGCGACGAUCCCUAGCUGGUCUGAGAGGAUGACCAGCCACACUGGAACUGAGACACGGUCCAGACUCCUACGGGAGGCAGCAGUGGGGAAUAUUGCACAAUGGGCGCAAGCCUGAUGCAGCCAUGCCGCGUGUAUGAAGAAGGCCUUCGGGUUGUAAAGUACUUUCAGCGGGGAGGAAGGGAGUAAAGUUAAUACCAUUGCUCAUUGACGUUACCCGCAGAAGAAGCACCGGCUAACUCCGUG
rnacentral:rRNA from 1 species